rnacentral:rRNA from 1 species
AUUGUCUCAGUAACGGCGAGUGAAGCGGCAACAGCUCAAAUUUGAAAUCUGGCCCCCGGCCCGAGUUGUAAUUUGCAGAGGAUGCUUUUGGCGAGGUGCCUUCCGAGUUCCCUGGAACGGGACGCCAUAGAGGGUGAGAGCCCCGUCUGGUCGGACACCGAGCCUCUGUAAAGCUCCUUCGACGAGUCGAGUAGUUUGGGAAUGCUGCUCAAAAUGGGAGGUAUAUGUCUUCUAAAGCUAAAUACCGGCCAGAGACCGAUAGCGCACAAGUAGAGUGAUCGAAAGAUGAAAAGCACUUUGAAAAGAGAGUUAAAUAGCACGUGAAAUUGUUGAAAGGGAAGCGUUUAUGACCAGACUUGGCCCGGUUGAUCAUCCAGCGUUCUCGCUGGUGCACUCUGCCGGUCCAGGCCAGCAUCAGUUCGCCGCGGGGGAAAAAGGCUUCGGGAAUGUGGCUCCUCCGGGAGUGUUAUAGCCCGUUGCGUAAUACCCUGCGGUGGACUGAGGUCCGCGCUCUGCAAGGAUGCUGGCGUAAUGGUCAUCAACGACCCGUCUUGAAACACGGACCAAGGAGUCGUCUUCGUAUGCGAGUGUUCGGGUGCAAAACCCCUACGCGUAAUGAAAGUGAACGCAGGUGAGAGCUUCGGCGCAUCAUCGACCGAUCCUGAUGUUCUCGGAUGGAUUUGAGUAAGAGCAUACGGGGCCGGACCCGAAAGAAGGUGAACUAUGCCUGUAUAGGGUGAAGCCAGAGGAAACUCUGGUGGAGGCUCGCAGCGGUUCUGACGUGCAAAUCGAUCGUCAAAUAUGGGCAUGGGGGCGAAAGACUAAU